GAGUGUUUCUGUAAAAAUAAAAUUGAAAAAUUAAAUGGAAUAAAUGAAAUAUUACUUUAAAAAAGUUAAAACAAAAAUAUCCAAAAUUAUAGUUUGAUUUUUUUAAAACGUUAAACACCAAGACAAAAUUUUAUUGGUUUAAAUAAAAAUAUAAAUGGCAGCAUCACAGAUGAACAAAAUUAAGCGGAGAUAUGCCCGAUUUUAAGAAAAUGAUCAAGCUUUUCAUCCUUCCUACUUGUGAUCUAUUAGCACUUUGCAAAUACAAUAAGCGACGAACAAAUCGCCAUAAAACCUUUGUGGCUUGAAUGUACUGAUAUAGAAUUGACGUAGAAAUGCAUACAUUUAAGAACAGAUGUACAUUGAUAUUAGUUAUUUUUCAUAUUAAACGAAUAUCACUUCAGCAUAAUCCAUUAACUAGAAUUAAAUUCAUACAUUUUCAACUACACUUAUUUCAACAUUAUAUCACCUUUAUAUAAUUAACAUCUAGCUUUGAAAGAGCUGUGUAAUCACUUUAUUAAGUUACUUUUAACAUACGCACGCAUACUAGCUUCGUUUCACCACCCAACUCGAACGGAAGCCACAAAACCAUCGAAACAAAAACAACAACACCGAAGCGGACAUUUUAAAAAUACUCGCCGCAAGAUCGACGGCCAGACGCGCACAAACCAGUGAAUGAAGAGUGUCCGUUAGUGGGAGAGAAGAAAUCGACAUAAUAUUCUCGUAAAAUUCAAAUCGCGCUGAAAACAACGGCCGAAACAUCAAAACCACACUUACACACGAUUUACGCUGGAGCGCUGGGUGUGCUCAGCUCACGCAGCUACAAGAGCAAACCUAUUCUGCACCAUAAAAAAAUAAAUCCAACUGACUAUUUUUGUGCUGCCAAGAGAAGAUUGCAACGUGUUUUCGACCAUGCGGUUUUUGUUUAUACAUUAAACAAUUUUUCGUUAGAUUUAGAGGAGAAAAAGAUGGUGGAUAGGGAAGAAAACACAAUCCAACAGAUGCAGCUAAAUAUACAGACCUAGAUGCGAAGAGAUAGGGAGAAGGGUGGUUGGGUUUAAGGGUCUUAAAAGAAACUAUUUUAGAAACAAUAAAGUGAAGACACUUUUUCCAAUUCGGAGGGCCGCUGUCGAAGGGUUGGUUUGGUGCAGUGCAGCUUGCUUCAAAUAGAAGCAUGAAGCAUCUCAACAACACAUGCCGUUCUUUAGCAUGUGGAACUACAUUUCCAAUCGCUCGCGUGACGUGUUGCCUUUGCGAUCUAAUGCAAUUAUACGUAUGCAUUGCUUAAAACCCUUCCAUCAACAAACUUAACGAAAUUUAGCCUAACGCUUUAAUUUCCACUUGAUGGUCAAGUAAACAUAUGACAACCAUAAAACAUUGAAAUGUAUUACUAUCAAAACUAUUUAAUCAUUUGCUGGUUUUACACUAAUUUAUUCUCAGAAGUACUUUGAUCUGUUCAAAUUAUUCAUGUAUAUUUUCCUUUAUCGUUGCAGAUAUCGUAAUCAGUGCUGCAAAAUAUCAUGAGCAUCAAAAGAUAUUCACCAACGAAAACAAUGAACAUAUCCAUGGUAGCUUGAUACCAGCAAUGAGCAUUUUCAAUGAAAGUGCGUCACGACAUGCGAGUGCUUGAGUUAAUCCCGAUACUCUGACUCAUAAGCUAAGCUUAAUGCCGUAACAGCAUUAUCAUGACUUUUUCUGACUGUGGACAGUGCUGCCAAAUGCCACUGUCUCAGUCACCAACACUCAUGGCUGAAACGAAGCUCAAAUCAGCUGACGUACACAACUGAGCUGAUCAGAGGUAAAACUCAAACAGUUGGUGGACCAAUCACAUACUUAAUGUCAAUUUUUUGGCUUGAUCACUAAACUCUUGAUCACUCACUUGGUCACGAUAUUUUCUGUCGGUGAUAAUCAAAGUGGGUAGAAAGUAGGUGUCGUAAUACAGAACAUUUGACCAUCAAGGCUUUAGAAAAAAGCACAAAACCAGGAUUGACGGCAGUUGUCAAAUGCGACGAAUGUUGCUGGUAUGUAUACGGUCACUUACCCCACACAUGCACCGCCUAAAUGCACCACUAUAAUACGGAAAGAAUAUGAAUAAGAAUUGUGGGUGGAAGGGUUUCGCUUAUUGUUCGUUCGAGCUAGAGGGGUUGGUUGGUUCAAUUUUCCCCGCGACUGCAGACAAUGCUUGUACGGCACUUUUCCAAAUUGCGCUUAAAACGCGUACACAUUCCGACGGCACACAUACAACUAUGUCUACACCCGCCUUUACCACCCCAAGGUGCGAGGGAGAAGAAUUGUGUGUUAAACGAAAUGCAACGAGCGGAGCAGCUUAGUAUUACAGCCAACUUCACCCUGUUGCUGAUGUUGUUUCUUUCUGUUUAUUUAAAAUCACCUAGCAGUCAGGUGGGUGGAUUCAACAGUCGAGUGUACGCUAAAUACAGCCCAGUAAUAAUAUUUCAAACGUAGGGAGUGUUACACACACACAUACGCACAGCCCUUUUAAAGAGGUGAAACGCAUCGUAUCGUUUGCGCACGUCGCUUCCAUUGCGUAGGCUAAUUGGUGACCCACAUGAGCCAAACCACAUACUUCCAGGUGCAGGUAUCGUCAAGUAAACCAGUCAAUUAGGGACUGCCCUUUAAGUAUGUAAACUAUUGAAGCACGUUCGAGCGGUGUUCCGAAUUCAUAAAACGGCGACAACUGUUUGCGGCUCGCUGCACCAAAACGUGCUGGGAUGACUUUCACGUUGCUAAUCAAAAACAGUUCCAACUCUGUAAGCAAUCGGUUCGUUAGGGAGAUUUGCGAUAAUGCUGAAUUAUUGCUGAACAAAGGUUGCAAGUUCUUUGACUUCUAACGUUCUGAAAUAUUUCUAAUUUUCAGAACAGAUCAAUCGAUUUCUUCUAAUGGCGUAGAUAGAGCUCGUUUGAUUUUUUUUUGUAAAAUAGGGUCUUAAAUCACUUAAAUCGUGUUGCGAUUUUUCCCUGUUUGUUUGUUAAACUCAAACUCAACCUCCAAUGAAGAUCCCGCUGCUUCGGCACAAAGGCAGCCGAAGGUGAUUAGAACACCGCCAAUGUUCGAUCGAUCGAACCCAAAGUAAAGGCGCGCCAUCAUCAACAACAUCAUCAUGAUCAUGAGCAUAAGCGUGGUCGUGAAGCAGGCAUGGAUGUCGUCAUCCGCGAGCGAUUCCAGCGUUUGUUUAUGAUCUCAACCUGCACAAGCGCCCUGACCUCUGCUCCAUGCCGUUCGUGCCACGCUGCACCAAAUCGAGCGUCGAAUAGGUUGAAGUUUUGCUUCACUGGGACUUGACUAAUGGCAAUUAAAUAAAUUCAAAACGCUCCGUAUGGGUGUGGUGUGGACAAAAGUGCCACUUACAAAUUUCUAACACACACACACACAGCCAUAUGAUCACAUUUGAAUGGAAGAAGAUUGCUGUCCCCAUCUGGGAUUUAUUUGCGUCUAAAUUAAAUUUUUACCCAUAUUACAGUUCACAAUAAUCAUCCUAAAAGAAAGACUUUCAAUUUUCGCGCCAUCAUCAUCUUAGUUGCAGGGGAAGGAAGGGUAGAGGGGCGUUUUUUUUUUCAUUUCUUUUCCCAACCCGUUCAAAACAAACCUUCUCUAACACACACACACACACACUGAAGAUCGUACACCCUCGGCUAACCCGUACACGGUACGAUCGCCACGAUUGUGAGGGAGCGAAAGAGAGGCAAAA